rnacentral:rRNA from 1 species
AGAGUUUGAUCAUGGCUCAGAUUGAACGCUGGCGGCAGGCCUAACACAUGCAAGUCGAGCGGUAGCACAGAGAGCUUGCUCUCGGGUGACGAGCGGCGGACGGGUGAGUAAUGUCUGGGAAACUGCCUGAUGGAGGGGGAUAACUACUGGAAACGGUAGCUAAUACCGCAUAACGUCGCAAGACCAAAGUGGGGGACCUUCGGGCCUCAUGCCAUCAGAUGUGCCCAGAUGGGAUUAGCUAGUAGGUGGGGUAAUGGCUCACCUAGGCGACGAUCCCUAGCUGGUCUGAGAGGAUGACCAGCCACACUGGAACUGAGACACGGUCCAGACUCCUACGGGAGGCAGCAGUGGGGAAUAUUGCACAAUGGGCGCAAGCCUGAUGCAGCCAUGCCGCGUGUAUGAAGAAGGCCUUCGGGUUGUAAAGUACUUUCAGCGAGGAGGAAGGCAUUAAGGUUAAUAACCUUGGUGAUUGACGUUACUCGCAGAAGAAGCACCGGCUAACUCCGUGCCAGCAGCCGCGGUAAUACGGAGGGUGCAAGCGUUAAUCGGAAUUACUGGGCGUAAAGCGCACGCAGGCGGUCUGUCAAGUCGGAUGUGAAAUCCCCGGGCUCAACCUGGGAACUGCAUUCGAAACUGGCAGGCUAGAGUCUUGUAGAGGGGGGUAGAAUUCCAGGUGUAGCGGUGAAAUGCGUAGAGAUCUGGAGGAAUACCGGUGGCGAAGGCGGCCCCCUGGACAAAGACUGACGCUCAGGUGCGAAAGCGUGGGGAGCAAACAGGAUUAGAUACCCUAGUAGUCCACGCCG